rnacentral:rRNA from 1 species
CCUACGGGAGGCAGCAGUGGGGGAUAUUGCACAAUGGGGGAAACCCUGAUCCAGCAACGCCGCGUGAGUGACGAAGGUCUUCGGAUUGUAAAACUCUGUUCUUGGUGAAGAUAAUGACGGUAGCCAAGGACAAAGCUCCGGCUGACUACGUGCCAGCAGCCGCGGUAAUACGUAGGGAGCGAGCGUUGUCCGGAAUUAAUGGGUGUAAAGGGGGCGUAGGCGGCCUUGCAAGUCAGGCGAGAAAACCAUGGGGUCAAACCGUGGACCGCGUGUGAAACUGGGAGGCUUGAGUGAAGUAGAGGUAGGCGGAAUGCGCGGUGUAGCGGUGAAAUGCGUAGAGAUCGGGAGGAACACCGGUGGCGAAGGCAGCCUACUGGGCUCUAACUGACGCUGAGGCACGAAAGCAUGGGUAGCAAACAGGAUUAGAUACCCUAGUAGUC